CCCUUUCAAUGCAGCAGAAUUGGGAUGGGUUGAGUAUCUCGCCUCUCCGUUCUGCCUGUAUUCUACCCUUGUUUGUCAUAUACUAUUAUUUCCUCGGCAGGCUUGCCUGCCGAGUGAAACCAUUUAUAACCUUUUUAAUUUUCAAUCAGCGUCUGAAAAAUUAAUAAUUA
rnacentral:misc_RNA from 1 species